rnacentral:rRNA from 1 species
UAGGGAAUCUUCGGCAAUGGACGGAAGUCUGACCGAGCAACGCCGCGUGAGUGAAGAAGGUUUUCGGAUCGUAAAGCUCUGUUGUAAGAGAAGAACGAGUGUGAGAGUGGAAAGUUCACACUGUGACGGUAUCUUACCAGAAAGGGACGGCUAACUACGUGCCAGCAGCCGCGGUAAUACGUAGGUCCCGAGCGUUGUCCGGAUUUAUUGGGCGUAAAGCGAGCGCAGGCGGUUAGAUAAGUCUGAAGUUAAAGGCUGUGGCUUAACCAUAGUACGCUUUGGAAACUGUUUAACUUGAGUGCAAGAGGGGAGAGUGGAAUUCCAUGUGUAGCGGUGAAAUGCGUAGAUAUAUGGAGGAACACCGGUGGCGAAAGCGGCUCUCUGGCUUGUAACUGACGCUGAGGCUCGAAGGCGUGGGGAGCAAACAGGAUUAGAUACCCUGGUAGUCCACGCCGUAAACGAUGAGUGCUAGGUGUUAGACCCUUUCCGGGGUUUAGUGNCGCAGCUAACGCAUUAAGCACUCCGCCUGGGGAGUACGACCGCAAGGUUG